ACGGAAGUCUUCGGACUUUAGUGGCGGACGGGUGAGUAACGCGUGAGGAUCUGCCUACAGGACUGGGACAACAGCUGGAAACGGCUGCUAAAACCGGAUGUGCCGAGAGGUGAAAUAUUUAUAGCCUGUAGAUGAGCUCGCGUCUGAUUAGCUAGUUGGUGAGGUAAGGGCUCACCAAGGCGACGAUCAGUAGCUGGUCUGAGAGGACGAUCAGCCACGCUGGGACUGAGACACGGCCCAGACUCCUACGGGAGGCAGCAGUGGGGAAUUUUCCGCAAUGGGCGAAAGCCUGACGGAGCAAUACCGCGUGAGGGAGGAAGGUCUGUGGAUUGUAAACCUCUUUUGAUAGGGAAGAAGUUCUGACGGUACCUAUCGAAUCAGCAUCGGCUAACUCCGUGCCAGCAGCCGCGGUAAUACGGAGGAUGCAAGCGUUAUCCGGAUUUAUUGGGCGUAAAGCGUCCGUAGGUGGUUAUUCAAGUCUAUUGUCAAGGCCUGGGGCUUAACCCUGGAGAGGCGGUGGAAACUGAAUAACUAGAGUGCGGUAGGGGCAGAGGGAAUUCCCAGUGUAGCGGUGAAAUGCGUAGAUAUUGGGAAGAACACCGGUGGCGAAAGCGCUCUGCUGGGCCUGCACUGACACUGAGGGACGAAAGCUAGGGGAGCGA
rnacentral:rRNA from 1 species